GCUGGGCGUGGUUGCGCAUGCCUGUAAUCCCAGCUACUCAGGAGGCUGAGGCAGGAGAAUCGCUUAGAACCCAGGAGGUGGAGGUUGCAGUGAGCCAAGAUUGGGCCACUGCACUCCAGCCUGGGCAACAGAGCUAGACUCUGUCUCAA
rnacentral:SRP_RNA from 1 species